rnacentral:rRNA from 1 species
UACGAAGGGGGCUAGCGUUGUUCGGAUUUACUGGGCGUAAAGCGCACGUAGGCGGAUCGUUAAGUCGGGGUGAAAUCCUGGAGCUCAACUCCAGAACUGCCUUCGAUACUGGCGAUCUUGAGUCCGGAAGAGGUGAGUGGAACUCCUAGUGUAGAGGUGGAAUUCGUAGAUAUCGAGGAGGAACCACCGGUGGCGAAGGCGGGUCUCUGGGCAGUAACUGACGCUGGAGGAGCGAAAGCGUGGGGAGCGAACAGG